AAGGUUUUAGCUUAAUUAAAGUGUCUGUUUUGCAUAUAGAAGAUGUGGAUUAAUGUUCCGCAGACCUUA
rnacentral:tRNA from 1 species